AUCUUUCUAGUACAAAUAAGUAUAAAUGACUUCCACUCAUUUGAUCUUGGUUAAAAUCCAAGGAAUGAUA
rnacentral:tRNA from 1 species